GCCGGGGCGUCCCCCGCGGGAGCCCGCAGCCACCCGGGACGCGCAUCCAGACGUGGCGCUUCGGACCGGGCACGCUGCGCCCGGGGGCUCGGCGGACCCCGCGUAGCCGCCGCUUCGGAGCUUGUGCGGCGCGGGCUGGCCAGCGGGGCGGCCAGGGCCCGGCCCGCCUCCCCAGCGCCCGCCCGGCUUCUCCCCCUGGCGGUGGGAGCCUCGGCGGCCGCUGGCGACACUAGGCGCACUGAAGCCCGAGCCGAGCCGAGCCCGAGCCGCCGCCGCCGCCGCCGCUGCUGCGCACCGCUCCCGGGCUCCCUCCCAGCGCGCCGGCCGGGGUGUGGGGGGCGGCGGGCCGGAGGGGCGAGGGCGGGCCAGGGGGCGCACACGGGGGUUGGCGCGGAAGACAGGACCCUCAGCCUCGAGGGAGCCCCUAGGUGACCAGGCAAAAUGGCAGUUCCUUCCAGCUGGUCCUCAGAUGGGCACAUCUAUUAGCCUCUGCUCUUGUAAGAAGUUAGCUGCAGAACCCACAUGUGAAUCCUUGUAGGACUCUGGAGAAGAUCAAAUGGGAGCUUAGAUGUGGAAGCUCUUUGGAAACCAAGAAACACUCUGAAAAUGAAAAGGGAAGCAGAAGUUCUCCUUAGCUGAUUUUUCUUCUUGCCUUAUACUGGGUUCUUUAACACCAGAACAAAAAUAAAUAAAUAAAAGAAUCUUCCAGAAAUUCAUGAAGAGACUUCAGGUCAGGAAAGCCUGAACUUUCUCAUCCAACACCCGUUCAAGUCGGAGGAUGCUGAUUAAUUCAUGAUGGAAAGGAGACCUCUGUGGAUUCUAUAACUCAAAGACCCAGGCUGACGGCUGGUGGAAUAGCUACCAUCUCAAACAUGGCGUGAUGCUGCAUCAGAGAGAAAAAUAAGCUCUUGCAUUGACAAUGAAAUGUCUACCCUGUAGUGACUUGUGCUUACUUCCACUCACAAGUGAUUGCCCAGAGCUACUUACCUGGCUCCAAUCUACCACUGGGUGUGUACUUGCAAUCUACCAUGUACCUAGAAGAUGAGAGAAACAAAUUAUUAAUGAUGACCACACCCCAAUACUAACAACAAUUGCAGAAGAAUCAAUGACUUAAACAAAAAUGUGGCCAUUGAAGGAAUAGAAAAUAUAGUGAGUUUAGUGUAAAUUUAAAAGUGAUUUAUAAGUAACAUACAAAAUCCAGAAACUAUAAGAAAACAGAUUCACAAAUAUAAAUAUAUAAAGCUUUAAAAAAGUUUAAUGUAACAAAAAUGGCAUAAAAGGAGUCAAAAGUUUUUAAAAAAUAUGUUAAUGCAGUAGAUUAGGUGCUAAUUUUCUUAAUAUACUAAUAACUCAAUAAGAGAAAUUUUGUAUCUAGAAGAAAAUGAACAUGGAAAUAGGCAAUUCACAGAUAAUGGCAUUCAUCUGGCGAAUAAAAAAAUGUGUGACAUUCAGAAUAAAAUAAAAAUGAAAUACUGGUUUUCAGCCAUCACUUGAGCAAAACUGCAAAGAUACAAUGAGACUCAGGCAUUCCCAUAUACUGUGGAUGGGAG
rnacentral:lncRNA from 1 species